rnacentral:rRNA from 1 species
CCUACGGGCGGCAGCAGUGGGGAAUAUUGCACAAUGGGGGAAACCCUGAUGCAGCGACGCCGCGUGGGCGAGGAAGUACCUCGGUAGGUAAAGCCCUAUCAGCAGGGAAGAAACAGGACAGUACCUGACUAAGAAGCCCCGGCUAACUACGUGCCAACAGCAGCGGUAAUACGUAGGGGGCAAGCGUUAUCCGGAUUCACUGGGCGUAAAGGGAGCGCAGGCGGCAUGGCAAGUCUGAUGUGAAAACCCGGGGCCCAACCCCGGGAGUGCAUUGGAAACUGCCAGGCUGGAUUGUCGGAGGGGUAAGCGGAAUUCCUAGUGUAGCGGUGAAAUGCGUAGAUAUUAGGAGGAACACCAGUGGCGAAGGCGGCUUACUGGACGACUACUGACGCUGAGGCUCGAAAGCGUGGGGAGCAAACAGGAUUAGAUACCCUUGUAGUC